AGCACGGCCGUACCACCUCAGAUGCCUUUUGGAAUCUGAGGCUGUUGACAAGCCAUUGUGUUGCUUCUGCCACAAGCCGGCUGUUAUAAGGUGCAGAGAGUGCCUUCCGGAGCAGUGGUUUUGUGGGGCCUGCGACAUGCAUAACCACAGCAAACGGCCACUCCACAACAGGGACAGCGUAGUGGAUGGCUUCUUUAAAGCCAUUCCCCCAUCCACAUGUAUCUCAAGAGGAGAGACUGGAAUAUAUGCCACACAUGAGCAAGAUCGCAUUUUACCCACAAUGCCAGCACAGCACUGCACCUGCCAGGUCCCUAGCUUCACAGUGGAAGCUGGGAAACCAGUCAUCUUGAUUACCAUCAAUGGUAGA